rnacentral:rRNA from 1 species
UACGUAGGCAGCGAGCGUUGUUCGGAGUUACUGGGCGUAAAGAGUGCGUAGGCGGUUUUCUAAGUUUGGUGUGAAAUCUCCCGGCUUAACUGGGAGGGUGCGCCGAAGACUGGAAGGCUUGAGUAUGGGAGAGGUAAGCGGAAUUCCUGGUGUAGCGGUGAAAUGCGUAGAUAUCAGGAGGAACACCGGUGGCGAAGGCGGUUCUCUGGGCAUGUCCUGACGCUGAGGAGCGAAAGUGUGGGGAGCGAACAGG